UUUUCGUUCGCUAUCCCCGACAUUGAAUUCCAGAAUAUUUUGUUUAUUUUUUGCUACGGUUAAAAUUCUUCCUAAAUGUUUUGUUUUAGAAAUGUUUUAAUCGCUCGAUUCACAUAUUUUGCCCUGAAAUACCCUGAUACGAAUGACGAAACGGUGGUGUGGCGUCUCGUGUUUGUUGAUUGUAAUUCAAUCAAUUAAUCAGCGCUAAAACAAGUUUAUAUUGAAGUCGCAUUCUGCAUUCAAAUGAAAACUGAUGGCUCGAAACAUGUGCCCCAUCACCAGCACAUUUAACACCGCUAUUCGAAACUGAUUUGCAUUGGAAUUAAUUUCGUCUGGGAUUCUCACACUGGAAGUAAUGCAGGAAUCAUUCUUGGCAUUGAUCCUACGAAGUUUGUUGAUAGAAAAGGUUCCUCCGGUUUGUUUCCAUCUUUUAAAUAUCAGUCACCAGCAAUAAAUCAAACAAUCGUCCUCUAUUUCGACAUCCCUAACGAUCACAAUUGGCAAGUCGCUGAGCUGACCUAGAAGUAGCCGUUCGGGUUGACAGUCCUGAUCCCAAUGAAGGAGCACGUGGACAAUCCAGAAGCGGUCACGAUAUGCCACUUGAUCCCAGUGACGAUAACUCAGCAGCAGCAGCAAAUCGUUCUGAGCUAAAAAUAGCUUAACAUGCAAAUUUUCGUUGGCUUUCUGGAGAUAUAAAAAAAACAAAAGAAGAUAUACAAAACAUUCCAUCAGAACGAUAAGGCAGCUGAUUUAAGAGAGAUCGAUAAAACAGAAAGCAUUCUACCAACACCGGACACACGCAAAAUGGAUGAAAAGAAUAUCGACUUUUUGCCAACGGCAAACGGAAAAGCAGCGAAUGUUGGAUGCAUGCGAUCGAUAACCGGUGAGUUUUUUUUUAUUCAUAUUUUUUUAAUCUAAAGAAUCUAUCACCAGUUAGUUGUACGUAUAGGUCUAUUGGCAUCAAAGUCUAAAUUAAGAAAAAUCCAAUUUGUCAUUUUGAAAAAAACCACAAUCUGGAAAACUGAAACCUCAAAUAUCAGAAUCAAUACCUAUUUAGAAAUUGAGAUUCGAAAUUGAAAUUCAAUAUCGAAAUCCAACUGAGAAUUCAAAAUUAAUUUUCGAAAAUUCGAUACCACUAGGGAUUUUGGCGUCCUGAACUUGAUUCUUUUGUCAGAUUUUGUCUAGAUUUACUAGAUUUGGUGAUAGGAUCAAAGGAAAUUUUAAAAUUGAUCAGUAUUCAGUAAAAUCAACCAUUAAUAACGCUAACUGAUGAACCAACAACCUUAAAUGAUAAAAAAAAACUGAUUUGAAUCUAUCUAGGCCGGAACAAAUUUCAAAUCCUUCUUUUGUCACUCGGACUUCGAUCAACGCGAGAGGUUAUAAUAAAAAUGCAAAAAAAACUUAUGAAUUUGGAUAAAUCUCUUGAUAGCUUGAAUAAAUCAAAUUAAUACAUAGUAUAUCAUACCCCUAAACCCAUAAAUUAAUAAUAUUUUAUCGAAAAAUUUAAUAAAAUCACGCAUACAAAAAGGUGAUGAAUCCACUUUUUUUUUGCUCUUGAAA